rfam:Nocardioides sp. Soil797 contig_6, whole genome shotgun sequence.
CUGGUUCCGGUUCACGUCCCACAUCCGGUGGUGGCGACCCGGCGACU